CCUACGGGUGGCAGCAGUAGGGAAUAUUGCUCAAUGGGGGAAACCCUGAAGCAGCAACGCCGCGUGGAGGAUGAAGGAUUUAGGAUUGUAAACCCCUUUUGUUAGAGAAGAUUAUGACGGUAUCUAACGAAUAAGGAACGGCCAACUCCGUGCCAGCAGCCGCGGUAACACGGAGGAUGCAAGCGUUACUCGGAAUCACUGGGCGUAAAGGGUGUGUAGGCGGGGUAAUAAGUCAGAGGUGAAACCCUGUAGCUUAACUAAAGAACUGAAGUUGAAACUGUUACUCUGGAGUUUGGGAGGGGUAGGUGGAAUGCUUGGUGUAGGGGUAAAAUGCGUAGAGAUCAAGAGGAAUACUCAUUGCGAAGGCGACCUGCUGGAACAUUACUGACGCUGAUGCACGAAAGCGUGGGGAGCAAACAGGAUUAGAUACCCUUGUAGUC
rnacentral:rRNA from 1 species